rnacentral:piRNA from 1 species
GUGAUCUUUGUUGGACCCUUAUCAGU